rnacentral:lncRNA from 1 species
AGCUCUUGCAUACACAUGAGUUGGCAGCCGGUCUGAGCUGACCCAUAGACUCGUAAAAACCAACAGGGCCUCAGCACCCUCGCCUGGGAUACCCAAACUCUUGGACCAAAGGUGCAAAGUCUUGCCCACAUCAAGGAUCUGGCUGCUUUCUUGGGGACCAAGAGAUUGGGUUUUUGUUUCUACGCUUACUCUGGCAAUCCAUGAGAAGCCAGCCAGACAGACAACGUCUCCUCCUUCUGGGUCUCAGGUUUAAUGAAUUACGUGGGGACACCGGCCAUAUAAAAACACAAGCAGGCACUCAGUCUUGGACCAGUCAACCACGGAGUUGGAAUUCAGGUCUGACCCAGGACCACGGGUUCCAAGGCGAGAGACUCUGGGGCACCUGCACGUACUCUCCAGGUAGACUGGCCUUGUUGCUUUUCACAGGAAUCAGUAUUCAUAAUAGACAGGAGCUAUAUUUCAGUCCCCCACCCCCAGUCUCAUGUAUUUAUGAUACUUGGUAAGAUCAGCUUUGGUCCUGAUAUUGUAUCAUCAAACAGGUCAUUACGGUCUAUAUUAAUCCAGGUGAGGAUUUUUUUUAUUUUAAGGCAGGCAACUGAAAAUAGAAACAAGGUGGACUGAUACAUUCUUUCUUGCUCUUUUUUUUUUUAAGUUUAUGUAUUUAUUUUGAGAGAGAGAAAGGGGGAGGGAGGGGCAGAGAGAGAGAGAGAGAGAGAGACUGGGAAAGAGAGAAUCCCAAGCAGGCUCCAUGCUGUCAGCGUGGGGCAUGAUGCAGGGCUCGAACACACAUGAGAUCAUGACCUGAGCCAAAAUCAAGAGUCAGACACUAAAGACACUUACCCAACCCAGGCGCCUCUCUUGGUCUUGACAGUGGUGCUUG